UUGAUAGCAACAACAGCUGAAUAUGUAGAAGAAGCUGUUUUGUGCCCUGCAAUUGUACAAAGGCAGUACGAAGGAUCUUGUCUUUGCUUGGAAGAGAGCGAGCAGCAAGGCACAGAGAACUUCAAACAGUAAACGUGAGAACAUCAAAUGUCAAGGGAUUAUGGCUCUGCAGAACCAAGAGCCUAACAGAGAGAGAGGGAUGAAGAGAGGGAGUAACACGACGAGCAGAACAACAGAGGAAAUAUCAGCCUCCACAUGAUGCCAGACCAUCCAUUGAAAUUCAGAUGUAAAUCCAGGAUGGGGCAAGGCUAAAUUUAUCCACCUGAUCUCUGACUGGCCCACUACUACCUUGCCUGAGGACAUGUACUGCUCUGCCCAUAGAUAUUAUCACAACUUCACUCCGCAAACACAGAUGAAGAGCACAUGCACUCCUUUACUAAAAAACGCAGAUGCACUGCAUGCAUGCCAAGACUACGGGCAGGCGCCAUGAUGGACAGAUGGAAAGGGGACGCUCAACAAGUGUAAAGUGCAAAGGAAGUUAGCUGGAGCAGCGCUGUGCACAGAGAGAGAGAGAGAGAGAGAGAGAGAGGUGGAAGAGUGUGAGUACCUGUACCUGCAGAUGGCUGGCAGGCCCAAAGGGCCCUACUGUCAUUACGCUCUCUCGGCAUGGAAGAAAAACAGUUUUAUCCAGAGCCCUGAAACUCAGGCAGCUGCUCUCUGUGCCAUGGGAAUCUAGCCAGCCUCGCCACAGACCCAAAGCUACAUCGCUCACCGAGGCGGACAGCAAUGCAAAAUUAUCAUCCAACCUUGUUUACUUCAAUCAAGACUCACAGUUUUAUUCAAAAAUUCAAAACAAAUCAAAAGUUAAUAAAAAUAUAGAAAUAGAAAUUAGUUCUCAUUUUACAGUAAACAUAUCUAAAACUAAUUCCUUAAGAAAAAAAACUGUGAUAGCAUAAUGUUAGUAUCAAUUAAUAAUUUGUAUAAAGUAUGUUAAUACUAUAUAUUUGUGCAGUUGACAGAUGCUUUUAUCCAAAGCAGCUUACAC